AUUGAACGCUGGCGGCAGGCCUAACACAUGCAAGUCGCGCGGAGCGACGGACGGGCGAGUAAUGACUAGGAAUCAGACUGGUAGUGGGGGAGAACGUCCGGAAACGGGCGCUAAUACCUAAUACUUUCAGAUAAGCCUAGGGCGGUUGAGCUAGUUGGUGGGGUAAAGGCCUACGAAGGCGACGAUCCGUAACUGGUCUGAGAGGAUGAUCAGUCACACGGGUAGUGAGACACGGUCGAGGCUCCUACGGGAGGCAGCAGUGGGGAAUAUUGGACAAUGGGCGAAAGCCUGAUCCAGCCAGGCCGCGUGUGUGAAGAAGGGCUUCGGAUUGUAAAGCACUUUAAGUUGGGAGGCGUUACCAACAGAAUAAGCACCGGCUAACUUCGUGCCAGCCGCCGCGGUAAUAC
rnacentral:rRNA from 1 species